GCUUAUGGAUGAGCAAAGAAAGUAGUUUCUUUAUUUGGAAACUACUCCUGGUGAAGAUGCUGGGGA
rnacentral:pre_miRNA from 1 species